UACGAAGGGGGCUAGCGUUGUUCGGAAUUACUGGGCGUAAAGGGCGCGUAGGCGGUGCCUCAAGUCAGGCGUGAAAGCCCCGGGCUCAACCUGGGAAUGGCGAUGGAUACUGGCUCGCUAGAGUGCGGUAGAGGAGAGUGGAAUUCCCGGUGUAGCAGUGAAAUGCGUAGAGAUCGGGAGGAACAUCAGUUGCGAAGGCGGCUCUCUGGACCAGCACUGACACUGAGGCACGAAAGCGUGGGGGAGCAAACAGG
rnacentral:rRNA from 1 species